rnacentral:misc_RNA from 1 species
GAUGAAGAACGUAGCGAAAUGCGAUAAGUAAUGCGAAUUGCAGAAUUCAGUGAGUCAUCGAAUCUUUGAACGCACAUUGCGCCCUGUGGUAUUCCGCAGGGCAUGCCUGUUCGAGCGUCAUUUCAACCCUCAAGCUCCGCUUGGUGUUGGGCCCUGCCCCCGCGGCCGGCCCCAAAGACAGUGGCGGCGCCGCUCGGCCCUAAGCGUAGUACAUCUCUCGCUCUAGGACCCGGCGGUGGCCUGCCAGAACCCCCAACUCAUGUGGUUGACCUCGGAUCAGGUAGGGAUACCCGCUGAACUUAAGCAUAUCAAUAAGCGGAGGA